rnacentral:rRNA from 1 species
AGUGAACGCUGGCGGUAGGCCUAACACAUGCAAGUCGAACGGCAGCACAGUAAGAGCUUGCUCGUACGGGUGGCGAGUGGCGGACGGGUGAGGAAUACAUCGGAAUCUACUUUUUCGUGGGGGAUAACGUAGGGAAACUUACGCUAAUACCGCAUACGACCUACGGGUGAAAGCAGGGGAUCUUCGGACCUUGCGCGAUUGAAUGAGCCGAUGUCGGAGUAGCUGGUUGGCGGGGUAAAGGCACACCAAGGCGACGAUCCGUAGCUGGUCUGAGAGGAUGAUCAGCCACACUGGAACUGAGACACGGUCCAGACUCCUACGGGAGGCAGCAGUGGGGAAUAUUGGACCAUGGGCGCAAGCCUGAUCCAGCCAUACCGCGUGGGUGAAGAAGGCCUUCGGGUUGUAGAGCCCUUUUGUUGGGAAAGAAAAGCAGCAGGUUAAUACCCCGCUGUUCUGACGGUACCCAAAGAAUAAGCACCGGCUAACUUCGUG